CCCAUAAUUUGUAGUUCAAUCUCUUUCUUUCGUUAUCCAUUAAUUCCAUUUUUUUCAUUAACAUUUCAUAGUCGUUCCAUAAUCCCAUUCAACCAAUUUCAGAAUUUCUGAAAUCGGGAACGACUCUAGGUUUUCCCUAAUGAUGAGAUUUCCGCUCGGAUUGAUUUAUCAGUGAAAUUACACCAAAAUAAACGCAUGCCACGGAUUUAAUUGCCUUCUGCCUCUAUAAAUUGUCAUUGAAAUAUAGAACAACAUCAGUCUCACCGAUUCAACAUCUACCCAAACAAAGAAAUAAAUGACAUCACAGGUUACCUGCAAACUUCAAAAGGUAGGAUCCUGAGCCUCAAAUGACACACUCAAGAGCUUACAAUCGCUUGACGAAGGAAAAACAAGCAUCACCGUGUUUACCAGGAAAUGGGAAGAGUUGGACUUCAUGUCAACCAACGACGUUACCAGCAUUGGGAGAAGAGUCGCAUGCCGUCAUACGCAAGAAUCUUAUUUGGAAGUUUGAUAAGCAGAUUCGGGAGGUGUGUCUGUACUCUAUAGAGAAACUACACUUGACCAUUGCUAAACCCAAGAUCCGUCCUGCGCACAAUGAGAAACGGGGAUUCUUCCGGUGCACCACUUCCGUCACCGCUUUGGAUGCCUAUUCUGUGGCCAUUAUUCCCCACCUUCAGAACAUACAUCUUACAGAUGUGGUUGGUUUCUUGAAAACAGUCACCAACAUCCAGUUGCUUCAAAGGUCCGGUGGGCAAUCAAGACGAAUGUGCGAGAUCACAAUUGAAAAUCUUAGGGGCACAACUAUGAAAAUUGCUCUAUGGGGUUCUGCCGCCAACCAAGUAGGGAAUGACCCAAUUGAUUGCGAUUCCAUCCCCCCGUCCUGUGUUGGUUGCCAUUUGCUCCAUUUUUUUUAAGAACUACCAAGGCAUCCAAAGGGUCAUGGAGAAUCACCCUAUCUUCGACAAAGGCCACCAAAUUGUACACGGAUGCAGACAUACCGGAAGUCACCCUAUCUUCGACAAAGGCCACCAAAUUGUACACGGAUGCAGACAUACCGGAAGUUGUUGAAAUGCGAGAAAGGUGCCCUUAUGCUAGACCACCGCGCCAUAUUACAGUACCGAUUAAGAAAUGAAAAGUGCAUAUACAUAUCGAUCCUGACAACAUAAAAAAAAUAUCUCAGGUUCUCUGUGCCAAAUCGGAUCCAACCGGCCAGGCCGUUAAUGUGCUCAUAUGUAACGCCACCGCAACCCAUGUGCUGAUUGAAAAUGGGUGGCACUAUCUUGCAUUCCCUCGGUGUAGCAAGAAGGUUAUGGGUGAUGAUGGAGACCUUUGCAUCAGAGACUACUGUUUUGCGGUAAAAACUGAUUCUGCUGGAAAUAGUAAAUUUGGGUGUGCCGCCGAGAAACAAAUCUAAACCCUAAACAAAUGCACACGGGAGUAUUUUAGAUUCGAGAGAUCAAUCUGUACAAUUCUGGCCUAAACUAAGAAAUGGCAGUUCCAACCUUGCUUCGGUCACAAAGUGAAGGAGAAGGGUUGAUCUUAGGGAGGGAAGCGAAUAAGGUGUUGAGAUCAGAAUGGUUAACUCUGAAGGUGUGAUUGUUUUAUGACUUGUAUCAGAAUGUGGAACUCGCUUGCGGAAUACAAGCUAUGAGUUCUUUGGUGUUUUUCUGGAUACUUGUGUUGAUAACCAAUGUUGGUUGAAACAGGUUGGAAACCUAUUUAUAUCAGUCAUAGUUGCGCG